AAAACAAUAAAAAACAUGCAGACAUGAAACACACCAGAAGACAGUGUUUCCCAUAACCUGUGUUAAGAUCUGAUCUCAGUGCGGUGAAGGAAACAGUAUCAUCACCUCCCACUUUCCAGGUCGCCACCAACUGAUUACACAUAACAGCAGUUCUCAUGUGAUGUCACAUCCUGUCUCCUAUAUGAGUUCACACAGAAAAAAAAGUCUACGUCUUAUUCCGGCUUCUUUAUCUUUCUUCCUCAGGAUAAAAACCAGAGCACGGCAGACAUCUUUGACUUUUUUCCAGUCGGUCGUUAAACACAAUCGCUCAGAGAUGAAAAAAACGAGGCAGGUUCUUAUCGGGGAAGGCUUUCAUGUGCGUGGCAGGAUGCCACCAAGAGCACUCGCUGAAGAGAAAACAUCACUCUUGGGUAAAAGAAAAAGAAGAGAGAGAGAGAGAGAGAGAGACACACACCACUCAGGAGAUCAGAGAGAAAGUAACACUCGGAAGAGUCACCAAAGUCAAAGGUGCCAGAGGAAACACUUUCACAGAAAUCCCCUCUUUCUCUCUCUCUCUUUUUAUUCCCCAUGUCAGCGAGACCCAGCCUCUCUCGUUCAACCUUGACACAAACAAGCGGCAUCUUUCGCUCAUCCGUGAAAGAGUGUCAUCCCUGUUUUGUUUGAUGUGGCACUCUGCUGUCAGCAGCUCCGGACAGAUAAGAGCCAUUUCUUUCUGUCUUGUGGGUUUUGUUGAUUUUCCUUCUUUUGUCUCUGUGUGAUUUGUGUCACACACAUGUCAAUCUGACAUGUGCACCUGACUCCGCCCACACAGCGGGGAAUGAUGGAGGCCAUUAGGUCCUGAAUAAAACUGAAGUUGAAAUGAUUUCCACCUUACACUGCCAUUUUUGACGAAAAAUUGUAAAGAUAAUCUGACAUGGACAACGCCUGUUUUCACACAGUCAGGUAUAACAUUUUGGAUAAAAUUAGAUUGGGAUUAUUAGAUUAUUUGAAAAAAUCACACAGCUUUAGUUUAACACUAUUUUAGCCAAAAGUAAUCACGCAUCACAUUGCACCAACUACCAUCCUCGUACUCCAGUACAUUAUCAUCUAGUGCUGCUAAUAUUAUGAAUGGCAACUACGCUAAUUCUGUUCCACUUGUUUCUCUUCUUCUACCCAUCCCGAGGCAUAUAGAGAUUGUGCCAGCUCCAGUAGACAGAGGCCAACCCUGCGAGGAUCCCAAGGCAUCCAGAGAUGGACCAGCCCCAGCUGGGUUCUGAGGCUUCGUGAGAACUUGAGUAUUCAAAGCAACGCUGCCAGCCCUAUGUGGACUUUGAGGACGACAAUCACCUCUUAAUUAAUACACACAAUAACGUUCUACAUCACACAAUUGACUAUACAUAAAUGCAGAAAGGAUAUUCUUCAUGUCCAGUGUCACCCAAACGAGGAUGAGGUUCCCUUUUGAGUCUGGUUCCUCUCAAGGUUUCUUCCUCAUACCAUCUAAGGGAGUUUUUCCUCACUACAGUCGCCUCUGUCGCCUCAGCCUUGCUCACUAGGGAUAAUUUUGUCUAAAAAUCUAAAUAAAAUUGAAAUUGAAUUGAA